rnacentral:tRNA from 1 species
UGACGCCGGGGCGCCGGGUGCGCGGGCGCGGGCCUGGGCGGGGCCCGGGCCCGGGCGGCCUCGGCUCGGGCCCGGGCGGUACCGG